AGUGAACGCUGGCGGUAGGCCUAACACAUGCAAGUCGGACGGCAGCACAGUAAGAGCUUGCUCUUACGGGUGGCGAGUGGCGGACGGGUGAGGAAUACAUCGGAAUCUACUUUUUCGUGGGGGAUAACGUAGGGAAACUUACGCUAAUACCGCAUACGACCUACGGGUGAAAGCAGGGGAUCUUCGGACCUUGCGCGAUUGAAUGAGCCGAUGUCGGAUUAGCUAGUUGGCGGGGUAAAGGCCCACCAAGGCGACGAUCCGUAGCUGGUCUGAGAGGAUGAUCAGCCACACUGGAACUGAGACACGGUCCAGACUCCUACGGGAGGCAGCAGUGGGGAAUAUUGGACAAAGGGCGCAAGCCUGAUCCAGCCAUACCGCGUGGGUGAAGAAGGCCUUCGGGUUGUAAAGCCCUUUUGUUGGGAAAGAAAAGCAGCAGGUUAAUACCCCGCUGUUCUGACGGUACCCAAAGAAUAAGCACCGGCUAACUUCGUG
rnacentral:rRNA from 1 species